rnacentral:rRNA from 1 species
AGGGAAUCUUCCACAAUGGACGCAAGUCUGAUGGAGCAACGCCGCGUGAGUGAAGAAGGUCUUCGGAUCGUAAAGCUCUGUUGUUGGUGAAGAAGGAUAGAGGCAGUAACUGGUCUUUAUUUGACGGUAAUCAACCAGAAAAUCACGGCUAACUACGUGCCAGCAGCCGCGGUAAUACGUAGGUGGCAAGCGUUGUCCGGAUUUAUUGGGCGUAAAGCGAGCGCAGGCGGAAUGAUAAGUCUGAUGUGAAAGCCCACGGCUCAACCGUGGAACUGCAUCGGAAACUGUCAUUCUUGAGUGCAGAAGAGGAGAGUGGAACUCCAUGUGUAGCGGUGGAAUGCGUAGAUAUAUGGAAGAACACCAGUGGCGAAGGCGGCUCUCUGGUCUGCAACUGACGCUGAGGCUCGAAAGCAUGGGUAGCGAACAGGAUUAGAUACCCUGGUAGUCCAUGCCGUAAACGAUGAGCGCUAGGCGUUGGGGACUUUCCGGUCCUCAGUGCCGCAGCAAACGCAUUAAGCGCUCCGCCUGGGGAGUACGACCGCAAGGUUGAAAC